rnacentral:lncRNA from 1 species
UUGCACCAUCACUACUUAAAGCAAAGCUCUACACGGUGCUGCGUUUUUCUCCAUUUGCAUUGGAUAUUUUCAAAAAAUAUUCUGAAGGUGCCUAAGUUGCUAUUAUCCUGGGGAUCUGAAUGUCCUGAAAGAAAUUCCGCACGCCAAGCUGAACACUCUUCCUAAACUCCUGGGUGAUUAAGAAAUAGACUCU